rnacentral:misc_RNA from 1 species
CCUAUCACAGGGGGAUAACACAGGGAAACUUGUGCUAAUACCGCAUAACACAGCGAAGUAGCAUUACUUUGUUGUCAAAGGAGCAAUCCGGUGAUAGAUGGGCCCGCGUCCAAUUAGCUAGUUGGAGGGGUAAUGGCCCACCAAGGCGACGAUCGGUAGCCGAACUGAGAGGUUGAUCGGCCACAUUGGGACUGAGACUUGGCCCAGACUCCUACGGGAGGCAGCAGUGGG